rnacentral:RNase_P_RNA from 1 species
GAAGUGAGCCAAGCGGUCGCGGCGGAUUGGCUGAGUCGCCCGGCAUGUCCGACGACUCGGCGGUUCGCCGAGGAAAGUCCGGGCUUCAAAGGACAGGGUGGUGGGUAACUCCCACCGGUCGCGAGACCAGGGACAGUGCCACAGAAAACAAACCGCCGCGCGGGUCACUCCGCGAGGUAAGGGUGAAACGGUGCGGUAAGAGCGCACCAGCAGGCCGGGUGACCGGUCUGGCUCGGCAAACCCCACCCGAAGCAAGGCCAAGCAGAGAGCAAGUCGAGUCGCGCGAACUCCGGUUCGUAACGCUCGACGCGGCACGGUUCGCGCCGGACGACUCUCGGGUCGGCUGCUUGAGGCGGCGAGCAAUCGCCGUCCCAGAGGAAUGACCGCUCACGACAGAACCCGGCUUACCGGCUCACUUCGGGG